ACGUAGGUGGCAAGCGUUGUCCGGAAUUACUGGGUGUAAAGGGAGCGUAGGCGGGUGCUUAAGUUGAAUGUUAAAACGAUCGGCUCAACCGGUCGAUGCGUUCAAAACUGAGUAUCUUGAGUGAAGUAGAGGCAGGCGGAAUUCCCGGUGUAGCGGUGGAAUGCGUAGAUAUCGGGAGGAACACCAGUGGCGAAGGCGGCCUGCUGGGCUUUAACUGACGCUGAGGCUCGAAAGCAUGGGGAGCAAACAG
rnacentral:rRNA from 1 species